rnacentral:rRNA from 1 species
AGUGAACGCUGGCGGUAUGCCUAACACAUGCAAGUCGAACGGCAGCACAGUAACAGCUUGCUCUUACGGGUGGCGACGGGCGGACGGGUGAGGAAAACAUCGGCAUCUACUUUUUCGUGGGGGAUGACGUAGGGACACAUACGCUAAUACCGCAUACGACCUACGGGUGAAAGCAGGGGAUCUUCGGCCCUUGCGCGGUUCAAUGAGCGGAUGUCGGAUUAGCUAGUUGGCGGGGUAAAGGCCCACCAAGGCGACGAUCCGUAGCUGGUCUGAGAGGAUGAUCAGCCACACUGGAACUGAGACACGGUCCAGACUCCUACGGGAGGCAGCAGUGGGGAAUAUUGGACAAUGGGCGCAAGCCUGAUCCAGCCAUACCGCGUGGGGGAAGAAGGCCUUCGGGUUGUAAAGCGCUUUUGUUGGGAAAGAAAAGCAGCAGGUUAAUACCCCGCGGUUCUGACGGUACCGAAAGAAUAAGCACCGGCUAACUUCGUG